UAUGGUCAAGACUGAUUUGGUCUGAUAUCGACGUUUUGCCUUGAAAAGGCAACAUUUUGAACGUAUUGGACCAACAGGAUAAGGGUUAAAGCUAUACAGGUUAUAAUCUGAACGUAUAUAUAGCUUUAAUCGGUCGAGUGAGUACAAAUUCAAAAUAUUCUAACUCGUCUAUUUCGGCCAAUUCCGGCUGCCAACUAAUUGUUCGUUUUAUCUAGGCAAAUAUGCCAUCUUAAGUUUCGUCAUGUCCUGUAGGAAUUUUCGCUGAACGCUCUAUUGUCUCAUUGGAGUUGCCGUUGGUUUUUCACCGCUCUACGCAUCAUUUGACAAGAUGAAGUAUGAUCGGAAUUGGCAUAAGAACGCGUCGUGCGUCACAAGGCAUAAGAAUCAUCGUAGACGAUCAGCUCACAGACCGAAAAGCAGACCGACAACUGACAACACUAUCGUUGACGGAACGACAAAGUCUCAAACAAAAUUAGAGGAAAGAAAAAUUUCGGAAGAUCUGAAUUCACGAUGAACGUCAGAACGAACGGGAAUCGUCGUCGCCACCUCGUCAGGGUGAACAUUCCGAGCACAAGAUAGCACCACAUAGAUACAUCAGGGACGGACGACGACGACGACGGCGGCCGCGUAAAGCUUACUGUGCGAUGUGCAGACGACCGGAUACACUUUACGACCUCGCUAACUUCGGCGUCACACAGCGAGAGGCAUCGAGAGAAUGACAGGGAGUGUCGGGGGGAGAGAUUGAUUCCAUUUCUUGACCUGUUCUUGGAAAGAAGAACCAUACGGGAGGUAGUUCAACCAGGAGGUUCAAUCAGCAUUCCGCGCUAGUUAGCAAAAGUUUAACACUGACAUGGUGGCAAUUUGUCGCGGCCGCUUAAUCAUCGACCUGGGACCACUGAUUAGCCGUAGGGCUUCAUCAAACAGACACCGAAGCAUAACGAGAGUAACAGAUUCAAAACUCAGUUCAGACGAGGCACGCCACAGUAGCUCGCCACAGGAUCCGCCCACACUCAAAGUCAGUGACGCGUGCACUUUAUGACGUCUUCUGAAUUGACGAUGCGGUUCCAACGACAACAAUGGGAACGAACAACAACAACACAAUGACAAUCGAGCGGACAGGGCCAGUGGACGACGAGAAGAAGACGGCAGCGGUACAAAAGAAAUGAAAAGGCCGAGGUCCUAGAUAAGGAAAUAAGGGUUUGUUAAAGUCUUCAAUCGAUGUCGCAGUCAAGAGUACAGUCAACAAAAAGACUGCGCGUUUGCCACCAUCCUGCAUACUUUUAAUUCGCUUAAUCUAAUGGCCUAUGUCGCUUCGGCUCCUGGAACGUACAACUCCCAGGUUAGAAGCAUUAUACCGCCAUUAGAAGUGAGCAAAGUAACGAUUUAUCCAACCACAUGGUUUGAAUUUCGAACCCUUCGGAAUCUCCUAUACAAAAAGUCCUGGGACUCAUAUUUUAGGAUCUGCACACUGUUUAAGGUCGGACUUUUUUCGACUCCAGCGCUUCCGUCGGUUAAUCCUAAUCUUAACCUAAUUCUAUGAUAUACCCCUAAUGUUUUGCCAUCGCACGGAGAAGAUUUCACGUAAGGAAGAUAGUCCGAUUGUACGCAUUUCGCCCGCGAAAACAAUUGUAUUCCCUUACAUUUUCGAAGGAGAAUUAGCAAAAUCUGGCAACGGCGUUCCUGAGAUCAAGCAACGCAGUGCCGAUCAGUAUAUUUGUGUCAUUAGCCUUUGUUGAUAUA
rnacentral:lncRNA from 1 species